GUGGGGAAUCUUAGACAAUGGGCGCAAGCCUGAUCUAGCCAUGCCGCGUGAUCGAUGAAGGCCUUAGGGUUGUAAAGAUCUUUCAGUGGGGAAGAUAAUGACUGUACCCACAGAAGAAGCCCCGGCUAACUCCGUGCCAGCAGCCGCGGUAAUACGGAGGGGGCUAGCGUUGUUCGGAAUUACUGGGCGUAAAGCGCACGUAGGCGGACUGGAAAGUCAGGGGUGAAAUCCCGGGGCUCAACCCCGGAACUGCCUUUGAAACUCCCAGUCUUGAGGUCGAGAGAGGUGAGUGGAAUUCCGAGUGUAGAGGUGAAAUUCGUAGAUAUUCGGAGGAACACCAGUGGCGAAGGCGGCUCACUGGCUCGAUACUGACGCUGAGGUGCGAAAGCGUGGGGAGCAAACAGGAUUAGAAACCCUGGUAGUCC
rnacentral:rRNA from 1 species